rnacentral:pre_miRNA from 1 species
CUCUUUGGUUAUCUAGCUGUAUGAGUUCUAAAAGCGAACCAAUCAAUUUGAAUUGAGAAAACCAAUAAAAAAAAUCAAAUUGAUUGUUUCAUUUUAGAUUGCAAAAACAUCAUAAAGCUAGGUUACCGAAGUU